CCCGACUGCUAUCGGGGUAAGGCUGAGCCAUGCAAGUCGAGGGUCCCGGGCUAAGGCGGGGCCCGGCGUACGGCUGAGUAACACGUAGCUAACCUACCCUCAGGACGGGAAUAACCCCGGGAAACUGGGGUUAAUUCCCGAUAGGCGAGGAUUCCUGGAACGGAUCCUCGCCGAAAGGGUGUCUAGACCACGCUUCUAGACGCCGCCUGAGGAUGGGGCUGCGGCCCAUCAGGUAGUUGGCGGGGUAACGGCCCGCCAAGCCGAUAACGGGUAGGGGCCGUGAAAGCGGGAGCCCCCAGAUGGGCCCUGAGAAAAGGGCCCAGGCCCUACGGGGCGCAGCAGGCGCGAAAACUCCGCUAUGCGCGAAAGCGCGACGGGGUUACCCCGAGUGCCUUCCGCUGAGGAAGGCUUUUCCCCAGUCUAAACAGCUGGGGGUAAUAAGGGGAGGGCAAGCCUGGUGUCAGCCGCCGCGGUAAUACCAGCUCCCCGAGUGGUCGGGACGAUUAUUGGGCCUAAAGCGUCCGUAGCCGGCCUGGCAAGUCCCCUGUUAAAUCCAGCGAUCCAAUCGCUGGUCUGCAGGGGAUACUGCCAGGCUAGGGGGCGGGAGAGGCCGGCGGUAUUCCUGGGGGAGGAGUAAAAUCCUCAGAUCCCAGGAGGACCACCAGUGGCGAAGGCGGCCGGCUGGAACGCGCCCGACGGUGAGGGACGAAAGCUGGGGGAGCGAGCCGGAUUAGAGACCCGGGUAGUCCCAGCUGUAAACUAUGCGGGCUAGGUGUCGGACCGGCUACGAGCCGGUCCGGUGCCGAAUGGAAGCAACUAAGCCCGCCGCCUGGGGAGUACGGCCGCAAGGCUGAAACUUAAAGGAAUUGGCGGGGGGGCACCACAAGGGGUGGAUGCUGCGGUUU
rnacentral:rRNA from 1 species